UUUCCGUAGGUGAACCUGCGGAAGGAUCAUUACCGAACUGUCAACACGAGCUGUUGCUGGCCCUUCAAGCGGGGGGCACGUGCACGCUCUGUUCACAAAUCCAUUCACACCUGUGCACCCUUGCAGUUCCGUGGUUUGGGGGGCCCUGUCCUCCUGCCGUGGCUCUGUUCCUUUACACACACCGUAUGAAGUCUUUUGGAAUGUGUGCCGCGUUUAACGCAAUACAAUACAACUUUCAGCAACGGAUCUCUUGGCUCUCGCAUCGAUGAAGAACGCAGC
rnacentral:misc_RNA from 1 species